CUACGGGGGGCUGCAGUAGGGAAUUUUCGGCAAUGGGGGAAACCCUGACCGAGCAACGCCGCGUGAAUGACGAAGUACUUCGGUAUGUAAAGUUCUUUUAUUAGGGAAGAAUGGCAGGUGGAAAAACCUGAUUGACGGUACCUAAUGAAUAAGCCCCGGCUAACUAUGUGCCAGCAGCCGCGGUAAUACAUAGGGGGCAAGCGUUAUCCGGAAUUAUUGGGCGUAAAGGGUGCGUAGGUGGUUAUUUAAGUCUUUGGUGUAAGUGCAGUGCUUAACGCUGUGAUGCUAAAGAAACUGGGUAACUUGAGUGUGGUAGAGGCAAGUGGAAUUCCAUGUGUAGCGGUAAAAUGCGUAAUUAUAUGGAGGAACACCAGUGGCGAAAGCGGCUUGCUGGGCCACAACUGACACUGAGGCACGAAAGCGUGGGGAGCAAACAGGAUUAGAUACCCCAGUAGUC
rnacentral:rRNA from 1 species